rnacentral:rRNA from 1 species
GAUGAACGCUGGCGGCGUGCCUAAUACAUGCGAGUCGAGCGAACAGACGAGGAGCUUGCUCCUCUGACGUUAGCGGCGGACGGGUGAGUAACACGUGGAUAACCUACCUAUAAGACUGGGAUAACUUCGGGAAACCGGAGCUAAUACCGGAUAAUAUAUUGAACCGCAUGGUUCAAUAGUGAAAGACGGUUUUGCUGUCACUUAUAGAUGGAUCCGCGCCGCAUUAGCUAGUUGGUAAGGUAACGGCUUACCAAGGCAACGAUGCGUAGCCGACCUGAGAGGGUGAUCGGCCACACUGGAACUGAGACACGGUCCAGACUCCUACGGGAGGCAGCAGUAGGGAAUCUUCCGCAAUGGGCGAGAGCCUGACGGAGCAACGCCGCGUGAGUGAUGAAGGUCUUCGGAUCGUAAAACUCUGUUAUUAGGGAAGAACAAAUGUGUAAGUAACUAUGCACGUCUUGACGGUACCUAAUCAGAAAGCCACGGCUAACUACGUG